GUUAAAAGCUCGCUUGUUUUUGGCUUCCCAAGAGACCCCUAUCUCUCACACUUCUCUCUUCAAACCCUAACCCUACAUCCUUUGAUCGGCGGCGACUAAUACGAGCAGCAGUGAAAGGCGAGCAGCAGCGGCGGUGAUCGACUGAGGUAUUCACCCAAAAAAAUAAGAGCGACUGAGGCACACGGUUGAUUUGAUUCAUUUAGCGUCGCAUUUUCAAAGAGUGGAGCAGCAGAGGUAUUCUAUGCAAGUCAAACAGGAAAAUGGUCUAGAGAGCAAAAUGAAUGGGAAGUUGCAGAAUAUAUUAAAAGCAACUUGGGAUUUCUACUCUCUCUCUGUAUUCUAGAAGGCAACACCAAACCAGUUUUGCUAUGGACAGCCAAGUGGAGCGCCCAAGACUUCUUCUACUCAACAACCACACUCCUCUAAAUCUGGAGGCCUAAAAAACCUUAUCUUUGUUGAUGAUAAAGGUCAUUGAGUUGUUUGAUGUAAAACUCUCAAUGCUUGGAUCUCACCAACUCGAAAAUGCUGCAAUUGCGGUGCGGACCUUAUGUUUCUAUUUUCCAUUUUCCCUAGAACAUUAGAACAAAAUUGCUAUAUAUACUACCAUAAAAUUUUGCUGUAUCCAAGUUGCUCUGUUUUUUGACUCUCUUUUUUGUCAAGUAAAAUAAUUGUAUGAACGAGCAUCAAGGGGAUGUGGCCCAUAUAAACAUUUUUGUCUUCCAUGCUAUGUUUGGAUCUUGGAUUUGCUGAGGAAUUUAUAGAACAAAAAGAAAAAGAAAUAUAAGAUUAUUUUUUUUUUCACUUUUCCCGGCCUUUUCUUUUCCCUUCACAAAUCCCUCCUCAAAUCAAGGAUCCAAAAACACAAUCUCAAUCUUUUAUAAAGGAAAUUUGUAAGGGUUGGUUAGAGGCUAGUAUCAAAGAUCCAAACACAGCCUCAAUCUUUUAUAAAUGAAAUUUUAAGGGUUAUAGCUUAUAUGAUUUAUGUUUUCCGGCAAAUACCAAGGAAUAGCUUUGGCUGAUACAAUUCAGAUGACAUUUUCGAAGGCAAAAUUGGUUCUUGUGGUUGCAAUGGCAAUUGACAAAGACCAUUUGGGUUUUGCCAGAGAACUACUUUCAAGUCAGAAAUUGCUUGGAGAGAUACAAAAUAUGGUCAAAGAAUUCAAGAACUUUGUGUUUCA